rnacentral:lncRNA from 1 species
AUGUUGAAUGAAGAUGAAUCGGAAAUGGAUGCCUUUAAUUAUCUUAAACUGGAUGAACCCCUUGAUACAAGGCCUCUUUUAAAUGGUGAGUCUCUUGAAGUAUCCAUGAUGUCUCAAGAAGGUGACAGUACUAUUGAAAUGCAUCGUCUUCAAGUUCCGGAAUUAUAUUUUAAUGCUGACGAUUUGCUGAUUUAUGUUGAUUUAACUGUAAAGGAUUCAGGAUGCGAAGUGUCUCCUUUUGAACAAAUAAAAUUGAGUAUGACAGAAUUACCAGAUAGUGAAGGAAAAGUAUCAAAGAGAGGUAAAUUACUUGAAUAUACUCUGAUUUUGAUUUCCAUCUCCAUUUUUUUUAGGCGCAACACAACCAGCUUACUGCUUAGUUGUCUAAAAAUGCUGGCUUGAGCGCAGACAUUGUGCCAAAUUGUGCACAGAAAUAAUUAAAAAUUUGGGGAGACGCAUUGGGGACUGUUGUAAAAUUGUGCAUUUAGAUAUGAACUGUAUGGAUGAAUCAGGUGGGCGAUGUUGCAAAAUUCUGCAGAUAAAAUUGGAGAAUUGCGUCUUGUCCUUUGCAUUGCAACACUUUUUUAAUAUUUUUUGUAUUUUUAUUCUGUCAAACAAGUUCACAUAGUUAUUUACAAAGAAACAGAAGAAGCCAGCUAAGCUCCCCCUAUGCAGCUAUGGAAAAAAAAGUACUAUUUUACUAGACGGCAGUUAGGUUUAAAAACUCUGGCCGCGUCCCCACUCAUGCCCUCACAAUGUGCAACACUUCCCUUCAAUUUGCUCUAAUACGGUAUGUUGAGUAUCUAGUCCCCUAAAUAUGUGUGAAUGCCAUGGUGCACAUUAGGGUGGGCAGAAAAUUUUUUUUUUUUUUGGAAAUCCUAAAACGGCUAGGGCUUAUAAGUUGUCAAUAGGCAUCGAUAAAACGAGGAAAAAAUCCGAGGCCAUAACUCUUCCAUCUGCAUCAUCAGCAUGAAAGUUGAAGUUAUGAGGGCUGAAUAUUCUGAUUUUUUCAAGUUUUUUCAAAGUAAAAUCGCACUCUGCGUCCUCACUAGGGCCAAAACUUUUGCAAGCUAAGGUAUGCCUACGUAUUUUGAGUCGAGAAAUUGAUUUCUGCAAGAAAAUAAAAUAUGUCGAAAUGCAAUAUAGAUUUUUGCGAUAUAUAAUGUAAAAAUGUCACAUUUUCAGUUUUUUUUCUCGCCUUUUGAUUGGAAUUUUAUCGAUUUAGCUUUCUGUAGUGAAACCUAUGCAUAUACCUCUGCAAAGUUUACAAAGAGAUCUUAAAUUCUAAAAUUGAAUGUUUCUUUCCACUGACACAAUCCCAGUAUUUUAACUUUGAGCGAACGAAACCAUCUCAUCGCUCCUUGCCACAAACUAAUGCAGAGGUUUCAAUCACAAUUUUCUCUCAUCUUUCAACACUGAGUAUCACUCGGAAAUUAGGAGAGAGGUUCAAUGUGUCCCCACCACGGACGAAAAGAUGCAAGUAAUCGUCUUUUACAAAAUGAAGCAAAAUAUGUGACGCCAUUGUAUCGGCAUCCCAAUUGAUCAUUUCAGUGCAGUUUUCGGCCUAAAAAAUGUAAGUGAGGCACCAAGAAUCUCGAUUUCAACGAUUCUUUGAAAAUGAGGAGUCAAGCAAUUAACAAAAUCAUUGCGUCCCGAAAAAAAAGUCGGUUGUGCCGUUUUUGUGCUUCAGUUUUUGUUAGCGACCGGGAAAACCGGGGAAAGUGAGGGGAAAAAAACCAACCGGGAAAAGUCAGGGAAUUUUGGUGCUGGUCAGGGAUUUUUCUGAUUUUACGUGUAAUGGGUCGCGGGCGGUCUCGGGCUCGAGUUGCGGGAUCAACUGACUACAGGGCUUUUUUUUAUGCGGAUCGCAGUAGAACACGGUGGAUCGCGAUGAACAUCGGUAUUUUUUUAUUCCGUUCCUCAGCCGCGAUCCUAGUGUUCCAAGUGGAUCAAGGUGGAACGCUGGAUCGCUCUUUCGAGGUGGGACGAGCUCGCGAUCCAAUGUGUUCCAUUCUAAUGCGAGGAACUUGCCGUCCCCAACAAAUCAAAACAAUAACAAAUCAAACCAAAUUCCAAGUUUGGAUUUUUUUAUCACUUGGAACACUUUGAAUCGGUCCGGGUCGCUCAGGAUUCCGAUCCAGCGCGUUCCACUACGAUUCACCCUGUUCCGCGAUAAAAAAAAAAAAAACCCUUACUGCGCAGAGAGUGCGUUCGAUUGCGGAGAAUGGCGGCGCUCUCGCUAUUGGCUUCGCGAGGAACUACCGGCGCGUAUUCCGAUCGCGUCACAUCGGACCUGCGCGCGCGUGUGUGUGUGUGUGUGUGUGUGUGUGUGUGUGUGUGUGUGAGAGGGUGAGGGUGUGUCUGUGUGUGCGUGCGCGUGCGCGUGUGUUUACUUACGUUUGUUCACAUAACCUAGAAGUCUGCAACGAGUUCUGUAGGACGCCGUUCUAUUUUGAGCGGGUGAUUAGAGCGCGUUCUCGCGUAGGACCCUAGUAAACUCAGAGGAUCCUCCCCUCCGAACCUCAACUCAUCCAUCGCCCGCUCCAAAAGUGAGGUUUAGCCGAUGAUUGAAAAAUUACACAUAAGGCGGUUGAAUUCUUGAAAAGUUAGUAUUUUUUGGCGUUUUCCGAUCCCUUUCGUCAGGGACGGGCCUGCCGCACUCUACAUGAGGGUAAAAAAUUAGAUUUUUGGCAGAUAUACGCGAUCCUACGGAUUUUUGUGAAGUUCAACAACUGAUAAUAGAGUGCGCCUAACGGGCAAAAUCCGAACGAAAAAUAUACACCUUUUCGCAGGUGUACUUUACGGAUCGGACCGAACCUAUCCGAAGAAUACCGAGGCUGCCCGAACGCAAAGGUACACGAUGGUAACGUCGUUGACCGAUGGAGCCCGAAUAUGACUCACGAAAAGCAUACAAUAGCUGAGUUACACCGAAAUAGGCGGCAUAUUUAAAAAAAUGGAGAAAUCAAUUCGGUAGCGAAGAAACUAAUAAUAAUCAGUCCCAAGCAGUAUUAAAGAGUUGUUUUCUUUCAUAAACUCUUUCAAGACAUUUAACCAUUUGAGCCAUCGAAUCUGAAUAAUUAGUGGCACAUUAUCAUCCAUUGGAUGAACCUACUGAUAGUUCCUUUUUUUAAAUAUCAGUUUUAGAAUACACUAUAUUUACUUUUCUUAACUUGAAAAACGUCUUUUGAAGAGAGAAAAGUAAAAGGAGGAAUUAUUUGAAACGCUUCAAAAUGUUUCACAUUUGAUAGCAAAUAUUGGUUU